rnacentral:rRNA from 1 species
UGGUGUGUAGAAUUUCUACCUUCUGGGGAACUAUCAUGUUAUUAAUUUAGCGUGGUGGGAAACCAGGACCUUUACCUUGAAAAAUUAGAGUGUUCAAAGCAGGCUUACGUCUGAAUACAUUAGCAUGGAAUAAUAGAAUAGGACGGUGGUCCUGUUUUGUUGGUUUCUGAAUCACCGUAAUGAUUAAUAG